rnacentral:misc_RNA from 1 species
GAAAUGCGAUAAGUAGUGUGAAUUGCAGAAUUCAGUGAAUCAUCGAAUCUUUGAACGCACAUUGCGCCCUUUGGUAUUCCAAAGGGCAUGCCUGUUCGAGCGUCAUUUGUACCCUCAAGCUUUGCUUGGUUUUGGGCGUCUUGUCUCUAGCUUUGCUGGAGACUCGCCUUAAAGUAAUUGGCAGCCGGCCUACUGGUUUCGGAGCGCAGCACAAGUCGCACUCUCUAUCAGCAAAGGUCUAGCAUCCAUUAAGCCUUUUUUCAACUUUUGACCUCGGAUCAGGUAGGGAUACCCGCUGAACUUAAGC